rnacentral:sRNA from 1 species
GGAUGCUUAACUGGGUGUUUAUUAGUGGACUUGCCGUUUUUCCACAGAUUCUAAUUACUGGAUAUAUAACCAAGAGCCCCAUAUGAUUAAUUAACACAUGGAGGUCAUACUCUGGGAAGGCCAUUUCCGAAUUUACACGGCUACAGAUCCGUUCGAGAACCCCGAAAUAUACGAGUAAAUACGAUAGCAUCAAUCCUGUAAGCUGCAGAGUAUCUCGUGUCGAUACGCACAUCAACCAUAACGUGGGGGAAAAAAAGAAAAAAAAAAAAAAAAAAAAAAAAAAAAAA